rnacentral:sRNA from 1 species
GCUGGGCGUGGUGGCUCACGCCUGUAAUCCCAACACCCUGGGAGGCCGAGGUGGGUGGAUCACCUGAGGUCAGGAGUUCAAGACCAGCCUGGCCAACAUGGUGAAACCCUGUCUCUA